UACGUAGGGUGCGAGCGUUGUCCGGAAUUAUUGGGCGUAAAGAGCGCGUAGGCGGCCCGGUAAGUCCGCUGUGAAAGUCGGGGGCUCAACCCUCGAAUGCCGGUGGAUACUGUCGGGCUAGAGUGCGGAAGAGGCGAGUGGAAUUCCUGGUGUAGCGGUGAAAUGCGCAGAUAUCAGGAGGAACACCAAUUGCGAAGGCAGCUCGCUGGGACGUAACUGACGCUGAGACGCGAAAGCGUGGGGAGCAAACAGG
rnacentral:rRNA from 1 species